GUACACGCUGUGACUAGCAUAUCAAUAAGCGGAGGAAAAGAAACUAACAAGGAUUCCCUUAGUAACGGCGAGCUGAAGCGGGAAGAGCUCAAAUUUGAAAUCUUGAAAGGUCACCUUUCACGAAUUGUAGUUUAAAGAAGUGUUUUCUGUGACGAUCUGGUAAUAUAAGUUCUUUGGAAUAGGACAUCACAGAGGGUGAGAAUCCCGUCUAUGAUUGCGAUUUGUAGCUUUGUGAUACACUUUCAAAGAGUCGGGUUGUUUGGGAAUGCAGCCCAAAACGGGAGGUAAAUUCCUUCUAAGGCUAAAUAUUGGCGAGAGACCGAUAGCGAACAAGUACCGUGAGGGAAAGAUGAAAAGAACUUUGAAAAGAGAGUUAAACAGUACGUGAAAUUGUCAAAAGGGAAGCGUUUAACACCAGUGUUGUUUUCUCGAAAAUCAAUUAAAAAUGGCUCGAUUUUGUAUUGCUGAGACCUUAAAAGCUCACUGUACAUUUUUCGUGUCUUUUUUAAUGCACUUUUCGUUUAACAAGUCAACAUCAGUUUCUUUUGUUGUAAAAGGGUCAUUGGAAGGUGGCUUUCCUUUUCGGAGAAAGUGUUUAUAGCCUUUGGCCUCUGCAAUCGAAGAGACUGAGGUCUGCAGCGUAGACUCUUCGGGGUUAGAUACAGUUUGUGCUAAGUUAUAGCUUUUUAUAGACAACUUGUUGACUAUAAUUAGUCUUGUAGCUUACUCGCUUAUGCUAUUUUACCUACGCUUAGGAUGUUGAGUAGCGACAUACGCAC
rnacentral:rRNA from 1 species